rnacentral:rRNA from 1 species
AGCAGCCGCGGUAAUUCCAGCUCCAAUAGCGUAUAUUAAAGUUGUUGCAGUUAAAAAGCUCGUAGUUGAAUUUCGGGAUCAAUAUGUCGGUCGUGCCUUCGGUACGUACUGGUAUCAUUGGUCUCUCCUUUCUGACGAACCAUGAUGUCAUUAAUUUGGUGUUAUGGGGAGUUAGGACUGUUACUUUGAAAAAAUUAGAGUGUUUAAAGCAGGCUUUAGCUUGAAUACAUUAGCAUGGAAUAAUGAAAUAGGACGUUCGAACCUAUUUUGUUGGUUUCUAGGAUCAACGUAAUGAUUAAUAGGGAUAGUUGGGGGCAUUAGUAUUCAAUUGUCAGAGGUGAAAUUCUUGGAUUUAUUGAAGACUAACUACUGCGAAAGCAUUUGCCAAGGAUGUUUUCAUUAAUCAAGAACGAAAGUUAGGGGAUCGAAGACGAUCAGAUACCGUCGUAGUCUUAACCAUAAACUAUGCCGACUAGGGAUCGGAUGAUGUAAUUUUUAAUGACUCAUUCGGCGCCUUACG